GAUCAUAUAAAACCUAUGUGAAUUGUCAUAACAAUCAUACAUACCUACCACAACUUUACUCUUUUCUCUCUUCUCUUUCUUCUAGAAUCGUCAUCUUCUCACCGGAUUUUCAACAUUGAAUCAAGAUCAAAGAUCCGCCUAUAUAUCUUGAAGAUCAGACCAUAAAUCUUGAAGGUAUGUUGUUUUACUCGGUUGUUUAUGUAGUAUACAUCUUUAAUCUAAGAGAUUGAACAUGUUUAUUUUUUUCUUAAACCAAAAUCUACAUCAGAUGUUUUUUGUUGAUUUUUGUUAUGUAUAAAAUCAAGUUUCCGGGUUUUUCUUAAUCAUCUAUUCCACAUUUAUCGCAGUUAAUGAUUUUGGUUGUUGUAUUUUUUCAUGUGAUCCUUACAUCCGUUAUAACAAUCUGAAUACCACCAUUCGUCAAGCAACAGAGUUUUCUAUUUGCAAUUGAGGUUUUGUUUUGAUCAAAGUUGGGUUAUGCAAGGUAAAUGGGGGAUAUCUACAAAUUUUGAUGGUACACGGCUUUUCAUUUAACGACAAUUUUGAUCAGAAACUGACAUUUAAGGAAAAAAUCUUAAUACAAUGUUGGGUAGAAGAUGCUGGAGAAAGAACUUAAGCGUAAUUUGGAUGCCCUUUAUGAUGUGGAUUUAUGUUCUUCUCAGUCUUCCACUAAACCGCGUAUGGGUGAUUGUGAGAACAAUGAAGAUCCGCCUAUAUAUCUUGAAGAUCAGACCAUAAAUCUUGAAGGUAUGUUGUUUUACUCGGUUGUUUAUGUAGUAUACAUCUUUAAUCUAAGAGAUUGAACAUGUUUAUUUUUUUCUUAAACCAAAAUCUACAUCAGAUGUUUUUUGUUGAUUUUUGUUAUGUAUAAAAUCAAGUUUUCGGGUUUUUCUUAAUCAUCUAUUCCACAUUUAUCGCAGUUAAUGAUUUUGAUUGUUGUAUUUUUUCAUGUGAUUCCUUACAUCCGUUAUAACAAUCUGAAUCCCACCAUUCGUCAAGCAACAGAGGUGAAGAGCUUCUUUCAGACUCCUUCCCCUACAAGGAACUAUUGAAUGGGUUCCUAUGAGAAGUUGAAGGAAAGUUAUGGAUAAUGAAAACAAUGCUCCUUCGUUAUUAAAGUCGAUUGAGGACUAUGAUCCUAUAUUUUUCGAAUUGUUCGUCGACCAAAAACAGUUAUGGAUCAUGAAAACAACGCUCCUUCGUUGUUAAAGUUGAUUGGGGACUAUGAUCCUAUAUUUUUGGAAAUACCAUAUGAUUUUGCAACCUUAUUGUGGGGAGAACAACUUCCAUAUGUCAAUGUCUUAAAAUUAUUGAUGAUGAUUUAUCUUAUGGAUCCUAAAAACAACUCUCAUUCGUUGUUAAAGUUUAUUGAGUAAUAUGAUCCUAUAUUUUUGGUGUUUAUUUUGGAUGGUCCGGAGUUUUUGGCUGCAACUAUGUUGGACAGAGAUAUGCUUGCUAUUGCUAUAAAUUGGUACCAUGUCGGUUGGUUUUGAUUCGUAAGAUUUGUGACGAUGCGUCGGACAAACAACAUUGGGAAAAUAUACAGCCUUGAUCCUUGGUUCGAACAACUUCAUGUGUAUAUUUUAUUAUAAAAAUAAAAGUUUUUUUUUUUUGUUUCAUGGGUCGUUCAGAGAGGCAAGUUUCUGCCUCCGGUUCUUGCCCGAAGUUUCUGACCUUACUCGCAACCCAUUGACUACAACUUUCAAUUCAAAACAAUUAUAAAAAAAUUACGUUUGAAAACA